UCCGGGGCAGUUGCGGUUGGUCGUGACGCCACGCUCUGAACGUGGAGGUCGCUGGUUCGAUUCCAGCCCCCGGAAC
rnacentral:tRNA from 1 species